CCGAAGAAAAAGACAGGAGCUCGAAAAAAAGCUGAAAAGCAGAAGGAACGUCAGCGAGGAAUAAGAGAAGCUCGAGACCGACCGAUCACUGAGUAUUUCUGUAAUGUAACAAUGGAAUGUGAUAAAUGUAAAAGACGUCAGAAAAACAGAGCCUUCUGUUAUUUUUGUUCCUCAGUUCAAAAGUUACCUAUGUGUGGAAACUGUGGUGAG
rnacentral:lncRNA from 1 species